CGGACCGUAAAGGUUUGCCAGAGCAAAUCUCCAGGGGAACUGUUUCCUUGGUUACCACAGCCAACAGGAAGAGCAUUUCAUUUCUGAUUAGGUAUCCUGUCAAGAUGCCGAGGACGCUUUCAUAAAUACUUGUUAGGAAAUUUAACCAGAAGGGAUUAAGUAUCCCAAGUGAAUCCCUUUUGAGUCAAUGUUUUUUCUUCAAAUUAAGAAACUGUGCAAACAGUGAACCCCCGAAAGGCCGGUGUUUUGCUCAUGGACACUUCAAGAGCAUAUAAGCUUAUGCACACACGCAUUCCAACCUACGUCUGUUUUCCUGUCAUUUGUUUCUUGACGUCCACCCAAGCAGCUCUCCGAAGAACAAGCACGCGACAUUCCAGGUUAUGGCCUCAGCUCACCAGUCUCCUCUGGGACGUAGUCAUGAGGAACCAGUUUGCUAUGCGAGUCCCCUCCAUGCAGCGUCCCAGACUCGAUCUCAUCGCCGCGCUGAAGGACCGAUGCGUCUUCAUCCCACCGCUCCCGCUAUAUGUGACGGCUGCCUGGACCAGGCAACACCAUUUAUACUAUGAAACAUUCAUCCUCUGCUCGUUAUGAAAGAUAUUUGACAGAUUCCACCGUACACUUGUGAUGGUAUUUACUGAAUGCGUUCAGCGCAGGCCCGGUCUCCGUGGCAACAGGACGUAGCUGGGAGACACAGGAAGCUCUGGGUAGACCUGUGUGUGUGUGUGUGUUUUUUAAAUCUAAUUCCAUCUGGAAAAGCAUGCAUGCGCACAGUUCUCCAUGGCUCUGCUUCAAGGACACGACUCAUAAUACCCAAUGUCACACUGACAGUUAACACCUACACAUGAAUGCAAAGCGGCAUCGGAAAUAUGUUCAAAAUAGGAACAUUUGCACGCAUAGAUAGAAGCGUACGGCAUGAAGCUCUUCAUGGCAGGUAUAUUCAUAUAUGCAUGGUCACGUUAAAUAAAGUAGCAGUAACACCGAACUGGAAUAGCACAGUGUCUUAUGUAAUA